AUCUAAACUAAAUCUAUUCUUCUUGGAACCAGCAUUUUAUCGGAUUGUUUGCAUGAAAUCUAUCGCUAUUAUGAAAUACUCGGUGAAGAACAAUAUGAAUUACACACAAGAUAGCUGUGGAGGAGGCUAUGGAAGGGCAUAAUCUCAUUAUCAAGUAAAUCAACUGCGAUUCUGACAGCAAUCAUGAGCAAUUCUGCUUCGCACUUCUGGGGCAGAAAUGGCUUUACUGGGGAGGGAUUCUUUCCCCCCAGAUAUAUAGUUAAAAAAGGCACUGAAAUAGCAAAAUACUGAUUACAUCUUAAAAGCUAUUUAUUUCCUAUUCAAAUAGAAAGUUGUGAGAAUUUAGAAAGGGUAAAUGUAUUUAUUUAACUGGUCAAAAUUUCCCAGUUUGAGUUAGUU